ensembl:lncRNA
UGCCUGACCUCAGGACCACCGCCGUAACCCCGCGUCCCCUCCUGCAGAGCCGGCGGGUGACAAAGCCAUGGGGGUCUCGAGGGCCCGCGGGGCGAAGGACAGCAGCAACCGGAAGCGAAAGAGGGAGGCAGAGAAGGGGCAGGAGGUGCUGAAGGCACCCCAGGGAAAGGAGCCAGAGGAAACUCCGUGCACGGCGCAGCCCCCUGUGCUGAAAGGGAAGAAGAAAUCUGCAAAAGUCAAGGAGAAACCACUGCAGGAGAACAUCAUCAGCAGCUCCCUAAAGCACGAGGCUGUGGAAGGUAAAGGUCUCAGCCCAAGCCAGUGGGAUGGGAUCCGAGCGAAGGAGGCAGCUGCGUCUGGGUUGGAGGAGACUGAAUCCAGCCUUCACCAAGGGUCAUCAGCAGGGCUGGAGGACUCUUCCAGGUCACAGCCCAAAAUCUGGAGCGAGGGACCUGCAGUGGGACAGCAGCUCUUGGAGACCAAAGACAGAGUUGGGCUCCUGAGACCAAGCGGUGGUGUUGCUGGCAUGGCUGCAUCCCUUUCUGGAGAGCCUGGGGGUUCAGGGUUAUUUCUGGGGGUCACUGCUGUGAGGGAGGAGGUGGAGAAGGAGCUGGACCCCUCUGUCCCACAGCAGAAGGGGGAUGCCCGAGACCUGAAGAGGAAAAAAGAGAGAGAGAAGAAGCAAGAGCAAAGGAAGCAGAGGGAGAAGGGGUUGCUGAGAAAAGGAGGGAGCAAGAUGGAUGAAUUUGAGGAAGAUCUUGGGGGUAUGAUGGAGGGAUUCAAGGAUGAGGAUGGUGCUGAUGGGAAUGGAGACUGGGGAGUGGGACAGGGAAGAGCCAAGAGAGGGGGCAGCAGCUGUGCCCAGGGGAGGAGCAAUGAGAAGGAAAAGCAGGAGAAGGGGAAAGCAGAGAAACGCAAGAAGGUGAAAACGGAGGGGGAGGAGAAAAUGGGGAGGAAGAAAAUAAAAAAGGAAAAAAUGCUGGAAGAGGAGCAAAAGUUGGAAAGGACAAAUGAGGAAUUAGAAGCGGGAGAUGAACCAGGAGGGAUGGAGGGGAGAGAUGUGGUGGGAAAGGAAAGUGAAGAUGGGAAAGGAAUAAAGGAGGAGGAGGUGGAUGAGCAAGGGGAUGAGGGAUGGGGACAGGCUGAGAGCAUGGAGAUUGGGCUGGAGGUGAAGGAGGAAGAUGAGGCAGGGAAGGGAGAUGGGCCAGGGAAAGGGAAAAAGCAGAAAACCAAGGAGAAAAAGCCAAAAGAGAAAAAGGAGAAGGGGAAGAAAAGUGAAGAGAAGAGCGAAAAUGAGGAGAUCCCAGAGAAAACCCGGAGAAGAAAAUCUAAGGAGAAAGGAGAGGAGAAGAAAAACAAAAAGGCUAAAAAGGAGGAAAAAGAGAAAGAAAAGAAAGAGGCAGAAAAGAAGUGGAAAUGGUAAAUGUCUUGCACGUGUUUGGCCUGUGGGCAGGUUUAAGUUGAAUGUAACUGGGGUUUUUUAAUUUUAUUUCUUAGGAUAAAACUGUAAAAACUCUAUUAAUCCUUUUAUUAACUGCUUGGUGUAUUUUCCUAAGCCCUGAACUUAGCUGAGCACUCUGAGCAGGAGGAGGGAGUGGGGUGAGAGAAUGGGAGGUCCCAAAUACAAAAUAGUAUUUAUAUGGUAUUUUUAUGAUGUGUGCUGUUAUAAGAGUAUAUAUUCCUCCUCAACUGACUUUGCUGGUGUCUGGCCAGGCAAGGGAUGUGCUCACGGCUGGUGGAAGGAGAUAACCCACAAAACCCUGUGCAAUAAAACCACUGCCAUAUCAGUGGGAGCCA